rnacentral:pre_miRNA from 1 species
UCUCACUCUGUGGCGCUCUAAAGGAAAGCACUUUCUGUUAGAAAUAAAUGAAUGAGUUUUCCUUUAGGGAGUCGCCGUCUGAGA